rnacentral:tRNA from 2 species
CGGGCUGUAGCGCAGUUUGGUAGCGCACCGCGUUUGGGUCGCGGGGGCCGCCGGUUCAAAUCCGGCCAGCCCGA